rnacentral:lncRNA from 1 species
ACGUAUUUUAAUACUUUGAAAACGUCUUACAAUUACAUCAUUAUCAUUAUGAUUAAAUGAAUAUACAAGGCUUGUUCAAAAUAGACAGAUAUGUUAGGCAGCCACGCAGCCCACGCCACAAACUCGAAGUUAUUUCAAUGCAACCUGCUUUUGAAAAACUGAUAGUCUAGGCUUGCUUUUGGCAUGAACUCAAAUACCAAAAGCAGGUGGUCACCCUCGUCCCAGUGAACAAUAAAUUUAACCGGGCUUCGGUGACGACGUUGCGGCGGAAAAUUCACUUCCAUAUUUCCAUCUGCAAAACUUCGGGUGGAUACCAAAUCAGUUUAUUGGAAAGUUCAGAAUGAAGUCGCAAGACUCUCAAGUACGACGCCAAAGAAGCUACCAACCAUUCCUUGAACGCUGGCGUUCCAUUGGGAUUCGACUUUUUGAUGGCAAACUGUCAUUUCCAAGCCUGGCUUCUUUAGCAGUGAGUGUGAUCAUUGAUCUAUCCAUCGAAAAUAUGACCAAGGCCAGGCCUCCUUAUCUAAAAUGCUGUCAGCCCAAAAAUUUAUGGUUGCGUUCUUUAUUUCUUCGAAUGAAAUGGGCAUAGCAUUAGGCAUCCGCAGACUGCUAUAUUUCAACUAGGAGGACUCACCACUGCUAUCUCUACUAUAAAACGGAAUGCUAGGGCCGGAAGCGCAGAAGGAUGGAUUUACUGAGAAUUCUUGAAGAAUAUGAAGUUUUACAAGAAAAUGGAGGAAAAGAUACAAGGUUGUUUCAUAUUAACUGAUGCAAGUUUCAAAUGACAGCAACAUACAAAUGAAUUUAUGGGGUUGACAUGCAUAAAAAAUAAAAAAAUAAAAAUUCAUAUUUAGCCCCAAUUGGUAGCAAUUUUUCACCCAAAAAAAUCAAAUUUUCGACGGUUAUUUCACUAUUCCAGCUGUUAUUUUUUACUUCUUCACUCACGGGUAGAACUCAAUUUUCUCUUCAACGGUCAAAAAAUUAAAUUCUCAUAAUCACUACCAAACAAAUCCUUAAUACUUCUAUGCAUAUCCACAUAGUAAAAGAUAAACAGGAUCACCUCUCAAAAGAGAUGUGGCCACCAAAGAAUCAAAUGAGCAUAAGCACAAUGUUUGAAAUGAAGGAUCACCAUUUUAUCAUCAAGAACAUUCAGUGUUCCCUGGGACUGCUUUUAUACUCACAAGGGAAAUACAUCUGGUCCAAAAUCCAAGCAACCUGUUACAUAUUUUUUUCAGAUACAAAGAGUAAUGUCAUCUCCAACAAUUACACCAAAUGAAUAGUAUUUCCUAUAUUUUUUUAUUUUAUUUCUUCACAAUUAAUUUAUUUCAAAAUUAUUUGAUUACAAAUUAUAUCAUUAAUGAAAAUAUUAAAUUAAAAAUUACAUUUAAUGUAUCAAAAUAUUGUAUUUUAACUAAAACCACAGUUAAAAAAAAUUACAUUUAACGCAAGAAAAAUACACAUAAUAAAAAUCCAACUAAUUUUGUCACUUAAUUCUUGGAGGAUCUAGAAAUGAUCUUCCUAAAUACUAAAUUAUUGUUUUAGUUUAAUAUUGUAUUUUACUUUAAAAUUUAUCUUUCAAAAAUAAUGUUGUUCCAGUGCUAAUUUCUUUUUAAUUUCUACCUAUGAAACUUAU